rnacentral:ncRNA from 1 species
AGAUGAGAUUUCCCAUGGAGUUAAUCCAGUAAGACCCCUUAGAGAUGAUGAGGUUGAUAGGUCUCGGGUGGAAGCGUGGCGACACGUGGAGCUGAGAGAUACUAAUCGGUCGAGGACUUAUCCUA